AUUGAACGCUGGCGGCAGGCCUAACACAUGCAAGUCGAACGGUAACAGGAAGCAGCUUGCUGCUUUGCUGACGAGUGGCGGACGGGUGAGUAAUGUCUGGGAAACUGCCUGAUGGAGGGGGAUAACUACUGGAAACGGUAGCUAAUACCGCAUAACGUCGCAAGACCAAAGAGGGGGACCUUCGGGCCUCUUGCCAUCGGAUGUGCCCAGAUGGGAUUAGCUAGUAGGUGGGGUAACGGCUCACCUAGGCGACGAUCCCUAGCUGGUCUGAGAGGAUGACCAGCCACACUGGAACUGAGACACGGUCCAGACUCCUACGGGAGGCAGCAAUGGGGAAUAUUGCACAAUGGGCGCAAGCCUGAUGCAGCCAUGCCGCGUGUAUGAAGAAGGCCUUCGGGUUGUAAAGUACUUUGCAGCGGGGAGGAAGGCGAUAAGGUUAAUAACCUUGUCGAUUGACGUUACCCCAGAAGAAGCACCGCUAACUCCCA
rnacentral:rRNA from 1 species